rnacentral:lncRNA from 1 species
AAAGAAAAAAAAAUUCCAUGCGGACGCGCACGCGUUUGUGUUAAAUGCCACUCUGUGUCAUUGAAUAUCCCGCGCAGAGCCCCGUGCGGGCCUAUCAGAACAAGCUAUAAAUGCAUUCAGGGUCAUGAGAGCUGAUGGUAUAAAACCUAGUAUUAUAGUCCUUAACUCAUUGAUCAAUGCAUUUGGUGAGGAUCAAAGAGAUACUGAAGCCUUUUCUGUACUGCAGUUUAUGAAGGAAAAUGAUCUAAAGCCAGAUGUUGUGACAUAUACAACGCUCAUGAAAGCUCUAAUCCGAGUUGAGAAGUUUGAGAAACCUGCUGACCAGCGCAUGCUGACGGGGGGGUGGGGAACCGUGCUCGCGUGAGGUUCCCAGUGCGGGAAACCACGCGGACAUGUGCCCUGCGCCCGCGUUGACGCUCUUCCCUGCGCGUAGGGCGUACGGGGCGCCCGCGCUUGGGCCGGUGCGAACCAGCCUGGAUCGCACCGGUAUCGGCUUGUACCGUGCGAACCGGGCCGGUUCGCACUGGUACAUGUACGGAACCAUUUGCUUUCAACCCAGAAAGGGUCGAAACUGAUAUAAUUUCCCGUAUUGGACCAGUGCCAGGCUGAACCGACUGGACGGUUCCGAUCGGUUCAGCAUACCAUGAUAUGUAGCAUCAUACUCAGUUGCAUGUAUGAAUGCCAAUCUAAUUGAUUGAAAAAUCUCUUUUUUUCUAGAUACUGCAUACAUGUUUUGUUUGUGUUAUCUUUCCUUUAAGGCAGCGCACGUCGAGAUACCAUUAAGGAAAUAAUAAAAUCAAUAAUGCAUCUUUCAUGAUUAGACUCCUUAUAAUGUUACUUAUAAUCCACUACUAAGUGUGAGUCAAAAACCCUACUGGAUUUAAUUACUUUUCUGAGGACCACUUUUUGGUAGCAUAUAUUGAAAUUUCAUGUAAGUGUAAUGUCUGGUCCUAGUUUUUAUCUAUCCUUUCUUGAUUUAUAUAGCUUCAUAGUAUAAUAUGUUCUAGCUACUUAUUAUAAACAAUAAAUGUACUAACCCUUCUGUCCAGCAAUUGGUCGAAACAUGUACAACAAGGUUGUAUUUUUUGGGGCUGGAACUAGAUAUAAUGUCGUACUUUGGUAAAUAUUUAACCAACUUAGCCGCAACUUGUUAACUUUCUGUUGUCUCAAUGUAUCUUCGCUUCUUUAUUAUUCCUAAGGCUAGGCCUACAAGUGUUUUUCAUAUCCUCUUACAACUCUCAUACAAUCCCAAGGAUUGCUGUUUAUUGGAUUUUGGUCUCUGUGUACUCUGUAAAUUUGCUGCUGGUUUCUCAUUGACGUAUCCUCUACUGAUUGACAAACUGACUCUUCUUCUGAUUCAUUCAUUUCUGACCCUAUUGUCUUAAUUUGAUGGAACAUCCACUUUAGUACUCUCAUCUCAAUUAUGCUCAUGUUACAUUCCAGCAUUCUAUACCUUAAACAUUGAUAGGCCAGUUAUUAGAAGCAAGUUUGCUUAUGCUAUAGUGUUAUACUCACUCCUGAACCAUAACCUAUUUUUUAUGUUCUCAUUUCCUGUGAAAUUUGAAUUGUGACAAGUUAUCUGAAUCAAUACCUUUCUGGAUGAUGUUCCUGCUCUUAGCCUCAGUUCCAUGUCCGAGGGAAAAGGUGGAGCCUGGUAUUAGAUAGUGGCAAAGGGAAUUUUGAUUCUAUUACCUGUCACCUGUGGUGAAAUAUUUACCCAAUAACCUAAUCAAAAUCACAUCAUUUGAAAGUUAUCACCAUAUAAAGUUACCAUAUCAUAUGGUUUAAAGGAACUAACAGAACAGAAUUUCUGAUUGUGUUUCUAGAUACUUGAGUUGACACAUUUAUUUCUAUUAUCAUGUUUACUGACUUGCACCAUUUUGCAGGGCCUAUCAGAACAAGCUAUAAAUGCAUUCAGGGUCAUGAGAGCUGAUGGUAUAAAACCUAGUAUUAUAGUCCUUAACUCAUUGAUCAAUGCAUUUGGUGAGGAUCAAAGAGAUACUGAAGCCUUUUCUGUACUGCAGUUUAUGAAGGAAAAUGUAAUUACCUAUUUCAUCUACCCCCCUUUUUGUAUGCAUGGUUUUGCUAGCAUGCAUUAUACAUCCUCUCAGUUUGUGUAUUCCCCA